GUGGAUUAGAUACCCCGGUAGUCCACGCCCUAAACGAUGAUAACUCGAUGUUGGCGAUACACAGUCAGCGUCUAAGCGAAAGCAUUAAGUUAUCCACCUGGGAAGUACGACCGCAAGGUUGAAACUCAAAGGAAUUGACGGGGGCCCGCACAAGCGGAGGAGCAUGUGGUUUAAUUCGAUGAUACGCGAGGAACCUUACCUGGGCUUGAAAGUUAGUGACAGUCCCUGAAAGGGGAUCUUCCGCAAGGACACGAAACUAGGUGCUGCACGGUCGUCGCCAACU
rnacentral:rRNA from 1 species